CGACGCUGAUCCACCUCCGCCGGCCACUGGUCCGAUAGCGCCGGCCAAACUCCUCUGGCCUAGUUGCAUUCGGUGUCGCUGCCGUCUCUCAACCCGAACCAACGCCGUCGUCACCUGUGCCCUAGCGCCGGCGACUGAGUUUCCUCUGUGCCCUAGUUUUUACUCUCCACGGUUGUACUGUCUAUGUUGUUACUGUGCCCUAGCUGAGGAUUCAAAGGAGGUGCAGCGGGUUUACUAUGGUUUUUGGCUGAGUUUCCAGCAGCAUACAGUUUCAUCUCUUCAAUUGUGGGUCAACAACAAUUCAUCUGGUUUUAGGACUGUGAUUCGAGACGGACAUCUCGACAUCGGAAUUGGUUGGAUUCGAUCUAUACUGG